AGUGCUUCCUGGCGCUGAUGGCAAAAUGGGACCCAUCUCCAGUUAUUCCUCGGGCACCCCAGCUUUGCAAAUCUGGGAAAGAACCUACAUAAACAUAUUGGUGAUGUAGCCAGCUUAAAAGGCCGAGAGAAUCCUUAUGGAUUCAGGAGACUGUUUUUUUAUUUAGAUUUUUAUUUUUUAUUUGGAAGAUGAAAUGCUUCUCUCGUUACCUGCCUUACAUCUUCAGACCUCCGAACACCAUCCUUUCUUCCAGCUGCCACACAGAAGGAGCCAAGGGAGAACCCAAGACAGAGAAUAGUGGCCCAAUAAUGAAGCAUGAAUUAUCCAGAUGAAAACACCUAUGGAAAUAAAGGUGCCUGUCCUGAGACCCAUGGACCUGAUGGUGGAGGCCACCCCACGAAGAGUAUUUGCCAACGCACACACGUAUCACAUCAACUCCAUAUCUGUCAACAGUGACUAUGAAACCUACAUGUCCGCUGAUGACCUGAGGAUUAACCUAUGGAACUUUGAAAUAACCAAUCAAAGUUUUA
rnacentral:sRNA from 1 species